AGAAAGAAUGUUAGAGAGUCUAUGGUCUUUAGUAUUAAAAUGUUGCUUACAGGUACCACUGAGUUAAAUGUAUACAUUAUAUCCAGAAGAAACCAGAUUUCUUAAUUGAUCUUUACAAACUUUAACUGGCUCUCCCAGUCUGUAAAAGGACAAAAAGUACAAUGAAAGAAAUGUAUCAGCUGGGUGGCGGAAGAUUUUUCCUUUAUAAAGCAGAGACUGUCUCUUUCCUGAUUCUCACUGCUGUCCCAAAAUACAGCCUGAGUUUAAUGGUACCCUGGCCACCAGGGAUGGUGACCCGAUGAUUUUACAUCUCCUGCAGACAUUUUGUUUGCAUUUGGAUGUCUCUGCAGGAGAGGAAGUAGGAUUUUUCCUUCCUCUUUCUCUUCACAUUUACUCUUUUACCCAAAACAAGAUGGACAUUGGAAGCAGAUCCCAGGCCACUUGGGCAUCUUCUUUAUACUAAUUGAAUAGACAUGCGUACAGGCUGGUCAAGGUAAACGAGAACCAUGUCAGGUCACCUUGGGAACAUGGCCUUGCCACUUGGCUCCGCUCCUGCAAACCUGAAAGAAACGUUCCUCAUCAUGGAAGAACUGGAUGUAGCUUUUAACUUAUGAAAUAGGAGGUGAACUUGAAAGCCCUUCUGAAUCCUGAUUGUGCAGAGCAGCUGCAUAAUGAAUGUACACAUGAAGACCGUAGCUGAACUGCACGAGUCAGAUGCCAACUUCAUGACUUUCCAUGUAGACGUUGUCUCCUUAAGUUGUGAGUGAUGUAUGUAGCAUGCUGUGAAGCGCCUGUUCUAGUUCUUAACUCAUCAGUAUUACGGAGUUACCCUUGCGUUCCUUGGUACUUUAUAUUCAAUGUAAUCAGAAGCUGUGAUGUAUCCCCUUCCUAGUCCCAUGCUUUGUUGCUGUAAAUUUCCUUAUGAAGCACGUGACUUUGGACUCAUGUAAGGUGGAUGAUCUUGAAGACUGCUACACACACACACACACACACACACACACCAGUCUCUUAUUGUGUAUGGUUUAAAGUUAGGGUAAGCUUUUCUCCAGUAGACUAUUGAUGCAGUUUAGGGUCCACAAGUUCAUUGUCAGGUGGCAGACUCCUUUUUAUAGGUUCAACUCUGAAAAUAGCAAGCUUUGUCAACAGCCACUUCACCCUUGUUCUAGCGAAGCAGACCCUGCUGUAAGUGUAGGCUAUGGUGGUUACCCAUAAUGCCCUCCACAUGCGUCGGCAGUUAUGAAGAUAACAGAACCCAUGAGAGCUUCUUGUAUGUAUAACUAGGCUUGAUUUGUGUUGUUUUGUUGCUGGUUUGGCAGUUUGACUAAGGCUAACCCAAAUGGGCCAGCUCGUGUAAUACUCUAGUGGUUUAAUGCCUCUCUUCUCGUUCUGCUGCUGUCGUUUUGGUUUUUGAGGGAUGGGUAAUAUUAUUUGAACAGAUAAAGAAGGAACUGUUACUGAAUCAAGACAAACACACCUGAAGUAAAGGAGCUGUGUAUUAACCUGUUAACAAUUCAUAACUGCACUUUCUAUGACAUUUUGAAAAUCUAUUUAUAGGUACAGAACAAUGGGUUUUGUUAAACUGUAUCACGUUUAUACCUGCAGAAUUUAUUUCAUUGUUAUUAGUAGGAAUUUUAUUGGUUCAAUAAAAUUGACAAAGCUGA
rnacentral:lncRNA from 1 species